CAUUUUCGUCCAACCUAAGAUCUCUUCACCUACUUUACAUUUUUUUCUCCUUUCCUCUCCAAGCCAUAAACCUGCCGCCCCUUCUCCUUUCCUCUCCAAGCCCUAAACCCAUCGCCCCUUCACGACUCAUAGCGAACUAGUCGCGGGGAGGUAGAGAGAUGGGCAACAGAGGCCACAAGUGUAGGAGCAACCAGGGGGGCACUGCCAUGGUCAUAAUGAACAGCAUCACCCGAGUGGAUGCCUUCCUCGACGCCAAUAAGUGGAUGGAGCUUUUCCCUUCGAUUGUGUCAAAAUCAAGAACAGUUCAGGUGCUGAGUUCCAGAGUCACUGGUGGAAACAACUGCUUGCAACUGAUGCACGGAGAGUUGCAGUUUUUGUCGCCUUUGGUGGCGGCGAGAGAAACAUAUUUCUUCAGGUACUGCCAACAGAACUCGGAAGAAUUAGGCAGUUGGAUAGUGGUAGACUUUCCAGUUGAUGGAUUUGUGGAAGGGGUUCAAACAUGCUUCCCUUGGUAUAGAAGGAGGACUUCAGGCUGCAUCAUUCAAGAUAUGCCCAAUGGUUAUUCAAGGGUGAUGUGGGUAGAGCAUGCAGAGGUGGAUGAUAAGCCAGUGCAUCAAGCUUUCAACCAAUUUGUCACCAGUGGCAUGACUUUUGGUGCAACUCGCUGGGUUUCUACUCUUCAAAGGCAAUAUUUUGGGUCAUGCAAUCCUUGCUUUAAUUCUGUGGAGUCGUGCUAGUUCUCUCGAUCUCACGAGCAAAGCUGCAAUAACAUCUUUCUACAUGUUUAUUUGGAAGCUCUUCUAUGCAGAAUACUUGCUCAUUCCACUAGUGAGAUGAUUCCUGCAAACAAGUUGAAAGUGUAGAAGGAAGCUACUCCAAUCUUCAAGAUGGAUUAUCUACAUAUGAAAGUGUAGAUGGAAUCUACAGAUGGUUUCGACCAGAACCUACAGUCAGUAGUGGCUUUCCCAAAGAGUUAUCCUCUGAGAAGGUAUCAGCAUUAGGGGAUCAGUAUAUGAGCUCUAGAUGGAAUUUAAAUAACUUCCCUCGGCUUCCAGGCUCUGUUUUAUCGUUUGAAAGUGGAGACAUUUAUGGUGUUCUAGUGCCAUGGUUGUAUGUUGGAAUAUGCUUUUCCUCCUUUUGUUGGCAUGUGGAAGAUCAUCAUCUAUACUCAUUAAACUAUAUGCACUGGGGUGCACCAAAAAUAUAGUAUGGAGUCGCAGGGAAAGAUGUCUUAAAAUUAGAGGAAGCUAUGAAAAAAAAAUCUGCCAGAUUUGUCUGAAGAACAACUGGACUUGCUGCACAGUCUUGUGACACAAUUUUGACCUUCUCUUUUACGGUUGGAAGGUGUACCUGUAUAUCAUUGUGUUCAAAAUGAAGGAGAAUUUGUUCUCACGUUCCCAUGAGCAUAUCAUUCUAGUUUCAAUUCUGGAUUCAAUUAUGCGGAGAUUGUAAAUGUGGCUCCUGUUGAUUGGCUGCUCCAUGGACAGCAUACCGUGGAGCUUUACCGCGAACAGGGACGCAGGAUAUCCAUAUCACAUGACAAAUUAUGUCUCUUUAUUAGAUAUCAAUGCAAUAUCUUGAUCAAUUAUCUCACUAAUAUGUAAUUUUUUUUCAAUAGAGACUAAUCAAAUCUGACUUAAUAAAUAAUUUAAUUUUAUUACCAUUAAUUCAAUUGUCAAUUUAUGUGUCCCAUUUCAAUAAUUAAGCUAUUUUUACAAAUUAUGUUUCUUUUUUAGAUAUCAAUAUAGUAUUCAAUUAUCUACUAAUAUACAAUUUUUUCAAUAGAGAUUAAUCAAAUUGGUUUAAUAAAUAAUUUAAUUUUAUUAUCAUUAAUUCACUUGUCACUUUAUGGGUCCCAUUUCAAUAAUUCUACUAUUUUGGAAAAUUAUGUCACUUUCUUAGAUAUCAAUGCAAUAUCUUGGUCAAUUAUUUCACUAGUAUCUUGAUCCUGUCUGAAGGCUGAGAAGGUGACAUACUGGCUCAGGUUUAUUGACAAGUAGUUGGUUCUCUUUGAAGCUCCUCAACGAUCCUGCACACAAUUAGACGAUCCAACAAAGCGUUAGUGACCAAAGACCAAGGAAGGGAUCACUGGCAAGACCCUCUAGCGCUCAUGUCAAUCUCAUUUCCUGGCCCGUGGGCGAAGAAGAAGAACAGUAGUGGAAAUACUUGUGUGAUUCUAGAGUUUAGAUGAUGCUAGUUGCGUACCUUAUCAACGGAGAAGGUCCUCCUUUAUAUACCACUUCUCUCAACUCCUCUGAUCAUGAGGUGACUUCAGGUGUCAGAGUUUGUUAGGUAAGGAAAAAAGUACAUCCUGGAUGAUUUGCGAUGACAAUCUGAGGAAUCUUUUUUUUUCUACCCAUAAAUAUACCUUUUUUAUCGCUUAUGAGUUAAGCUUUUAUGAAGUGAUUAGAGGAGUAUGAUGUUAUAACUGAUCAAUCAAAGAGGAA